UGUUGUUGUUUAGAAUCUACU
rnacentral:piRNA from 1 species